rnacentral:rRNA from 1 species
UACGGAGGGUGCAAGCGUUAUCCGGAUUUACUGGGUUUAAAGGGUGCGUAGGUGGGCAGUUAAGUCAGUGGUGAAAUCUCCGAGCUUAACUCGGAAACUGCCAUUGAUACUAUCUGUCUUGAAUAUCCUGGAGGUGAGCGGAAUAAGUCAUGUAGCGGUGAAAUGCUUAGAUAUGACAUAGAACACCGAUUGCGAAGGCAGCUCGUUACACGGUUAUUGACACUGAGGCACGAAAGCGUGGGGAUCAAACAGG